rnacentral:rRNA from 1 species
UACGUAGGGUGCAAGCGUUGUCCGGAAUUAUUGGGCGUAAAGAGCUCGUAGGCGGUCUGUCACGUCGGCUGUGAAAUCCCGAGGCUCAACCUCGGGUCUGCAGUCGAUACGAGCAAACUAGAGUGUUGCAGGGGAGACUGGAAUUCCUGGUGUAGCGGUGAAAUGCGCAGAUAUCAGGAGGAACACCGGUGGCGAAGGCGGGUCUCUGGGCAACAACUGACGCUGAGGAGCGAAAGCAUGGGGAGCGAACAGG